CGCAGGUGACGGUAGGUACAGAAGAAGCACCGGCCAACUACGUGCCAGCAGCCGCGGUAAUACGUAGGGUGCGAGCGUUGUCCGGAAUUACUGGGCGUAAAGAGCUCGUAGGUGGUUUGUCGCGUUGUCCGUGAAAACUCACAGCUCAACUGUGGGCGUGCGGGCGAUACGGGCAGACUGGAGUACUGUAGGGGAGACUGGAAUUCCUGGUGUAGCGGUGGAAUGCGCAGAUAUCAGGAGGAACACCGGUGGCGAAGGCGGGUCUCUGGGCAGUAACUGACGCUGAGGAGCGAAAGCGUGGGGAGCGAACAGGAUUAGAUACCCUGGUAGUCCACGCCGUAAANCGGUGGGUACUAGGUGUGGGUUUCCUUCCUUUAGGGAUCCGUGCCGUAGCUAACGCAUUAAGUACCCCGCCUGGGGAGUACGGCCGCAAGGCUA
rnacentral:rRNA from 1 species